rnacentral:rRNA from 1 species
UUCGGGAGCUUGUACAGUGCUGCAUGGCUGUCGUCAGCUCGUGUCGUGAGAUGUCGGUUAAGUCCGCUAACGGGCGCAAUCCUCGCUGUGUGUUACAAGUGUCACACGGGAACUGCCGGUCAUAAACCGGAGAAGUGGGAUGACGUCAAGUCAGCAUGGCCUUUAUAUCCUGGGCUACACACACGCUACAAUGGGAAGGGACAAUAGGUUGCGAAGCCGCGAGGCGGAGCCAAUCCAGCAAAACUUCCCUCAGUUCAGAUUGCAGGCUGCAACCCGCCUGCAUGAAGUUGGAGUUGCUAGUAAACGCAGGUCAGCCAUACUGCGUUGAAUACGUUCCCGGGGCUU